GAUGAAGAACGUAGCGAAAUGCGAUUAGUAGUGUGAAUUGCAGAAUUCAGUGAAUCAUCGAAUCUUUGAACGCACAUUGCGCCCCUUGGUAUCCCGAGGGGCAUGCCUGUUCGAGCGUCAUUUCACCACUCAAGCCUGGCUUGGUGUUGGGCGACGUCCUCUUUGGGGACGCGCCUCGAAACGCUCGGCGGCGUGGCACCGGCUUUAAGCGUAGCAGAAUCUUUCGCUUUGGAAGUCGGGGCCCCGUCUGCCGGAAGACCUGCUCGCAAGGUUGACCUCGGAUCAGGCAGGGAUACCCGCUGAACUUAAGCAUAUCAAUAAGCGGAGGA
rnacentral:misc_RNA from 1 species